rnacentral:rRNA from 1 species
UCCAUCCCGAACACAGCAGUUAAGCUUCUUAGCGCCGAAUGUAGUUGGGGGUUGCCCCCUGUGAGACUAGGACGUUGCCGUGC